rnacentral:ncRNA from 2 species
AGAUAUCCCCUAUCAGGCGGUUCUGAUGGGGUCCAGCCAUCAGACGUAAGGGGGAAAGCCCGGUCCCAAUCCGGCACUGUCCCGCAACUGUGAUCCCAACCCCAGGUUUCCGGUAAAUUGCCAUUUGCCCUCUGGAGUCGGUAAGUCAGAAUGCCCACCGCCUCGGUCGUCCACCC